rnacentral:rRNA from 1 species
CACGUAGGGUGCGAGCGUUGUCCGGAAUUACUGGGCGUAAAGAGCUCGUAGGUGGUUUGUCGCGUUGUUCGUGAAAUCUCACGGCUUAACUGUGAGCGUGCGGGCGAUACGGGCAGACUAGAGUACUGCAGGGGAGACUGGAAUUCCUGGUGUAGCGGUGGAAUGCGCAGAUAUCAGGAGGAACACCGGUGGCGAAGGCGGGUCUCUGGGCAGUAACUGACGCUGAGGAGCGAAAGCGUGGGGAGCGAACAGG